UUUUUCAAUCUAUUCGUUCAGACUGUAUAAUAGCAGAGUUUUUUUUAUUGACAAUUCUAUUAAAAAAUCGAUUUGGUGGAAUUUUGCAGAUGCAUGCAGAUACAUCUAGUAAAUAGUUAUUAAUUUUGCCAAUAAUUUUGCCGCAAGUUUCAUUACCAUUCGGCCCAUUCGAAUUGUAUGCGUUCUUAAUUGCAAUCAGUAAAAUGUAACUUGUAACUUUGUAACUAAGUUACAAAAAAUAUAUUGUAACUUUGUAACUGUAACUAGUUACACUUUGGCGUCUGUAACUUGUAUCGGUAACUAGUUAUGUUUUUGGUAAUGUAACUAUAACUGUAACUAGUUACAAACAAACUGUAACUGUUACAGCACUG